rnacentral:rRNA from 2 species
GAAAAGGCUAAUUCUGCUUACCUCUUCCGGGAGAAAGUGGGGGAUCUUCGGACCUCACGUUAUCAGAUGAGCCUAGGUCGGAUUAGCUAGUUGGUGAGGUAAAGGCUCACCAAGGCGACGAUCCGUAACUGGUCUGAGAGGAUGUUCAGUCACACUGGAACUGAGACACGGUCCAGACUCCUACGGGAGGCAGCAGUGGGGAAUAUUGGACAAUGGGCGAAAUCCUGAUCCAGCCAUGCCGCGUGUGUGAAGAAGGUCUUCGGAUUGUAAAGCACUUUAAGUUGGGAGGAAGGGCAGUAAGUUAAUACCUUGCUGUUUUGACGUUACCAACAGAAUAAGCCCCGGCUAACUUCGUGCCAGCAGCCGCGGUAAUACGAAGGGUGCAAGCGUUAAUCGGAAUUACUGGGCGUAAAGCGCGCGUAGGUGGUUUGUUAAGUUGGAUGUGAAAGCCCCGGGCUCAACCUGGGAGCUGCAUCCAAAACUGGCGAGCUAGAGUAUGGCAGAGGGUGGUGGAAUUUCCUGUGUAGCGGUGAAAUGCGUAGAUAUAGGAAGGAACACCAGUGGCGAAGGCGACCUACUCUGGGCUAAUACUGACACUGAGUGCGAAAGAUUCCUCC